GGUCGGAUGGUGUAGUUGGUUAUCACGUCAGUCUAACAAGACUCGGGCUUGCAAAGCUCGGCGAUAUUUGUACACUGAAGGUCCCCAGUUCAAACCUGGGUUCGAUCA